rnacentral:rRNA from 1 species
UACGUAGGGUGCAAGCGUUGUCCGGAAUUAUUGGGCGUAAAGAGCUCGUAGGCGGUCUGUCGCGUCGGCUGUGAAAACUCGGGGCUCAACCCCGAGCCUGCAGUCGAUACGGGCAGACUAGAGUUCGGCAGGGGAGACUGGAAUUCCUGGUGUAGCGGUGAAAUGCGCAGAUAUCAGGAAGAACACCGGUGGCGAAGGCGGCUCUCUGGGCCUUACCUGACGCUGAGGAGCGAAAGCGUGGGUAGCGAACAGG